rnacentral:rRNA from 1 species
UACGUAGGGGGCGAGCGUUGUCCGGAGUUACUGGGCGUAAAGGGCGUGCAGGCGGUGCGGUAAGUUUAGAGUGACAGUCUUCGGUUUAACUGGAGAAGGCCUCUGAAAACUGCCGGACUUGAGGGCCAGAGAGGGACAUAGAAUUCCGGGGUGGAGUGGUGAAAUGCGUAGAUAUCCGGAGGAAUACCAAAGGCGAAGGCAGUGUCCUGGCUGGCAUCUGACGCUGAGGCGCGAAAGCUAGGGGAGCGAACAGG